UAAGCGGAGGAAAAGAAACCAACAGGGAUUGCCUCAGUAGCGGCGAGUGAAGCGGCAAGAGCUCAGAUUUGAAAUCGUGCUUUGCGGCACGAGUUGUAGAUUGCAGGUUGGAGUCUGUGUGGAAGGCGGUGUCCAAGUCCCUUGGAACAGGGCGCCCAGGAGGGUGAGAGCCCCGUGGGAUGCCGGCGGAAGCAGUGAGGCCCUUCUGACGAGUCGAGUUGUUUGGGAAUGCAGCUCCAAGCGGGUGGUAAAUUCCAUCUAAGGCUAAAUACUGGCGAGAGACCGAUAGCGAACAAGUACUGUGAAGGAAAGAUGAAAAGCACUUUGAAAAGAGAGUGAAACAGCACGUGAAAUUGUUGAAAGGGAAGGGUAUUGCGCCCGACAUGGGGAUUGCGCACCGCUGCCUCUCGUGGGCGGCGCUCUGGGCUUUCCCUGGGCCAGCAUCGGUUCUUGCUGCAGGAGAAGGGGUUCUGGAACGUGGCUCUUCGGAGUGUUAUAGCCAGGGCCAGAUGCUGCGUGCGGGGACCGAGGACUGCGGCCGUGUAGGUCACG
rnacentral:rRNA from 1 species